rnacentral:rRNA from 1 species
UACGGAGGGUGCGAGCAUUAAUCGGAUUUAUUGGGCGUAAAGGGCGCGUAGGCGGGAAUGUAAGUCAGAUGUGAAAUCCCGGGGCUCAACCCCGGAACAGCAUUUGAAACUGCUUUUCUAAGAGGAUGGACGGAGAAAAUGGAAUUCCACAAGUAGCGGUGAAAUGCGUAGAUAUGUGGAAGAACACCAGUGGCGAAGGCGAUUUUCUAGUUUAUACCUGACGCUAAAGCGCGAAAGCUAGGGGAGCAAACAGG